AAAAUGUAAACCCAGUUUGUAUAUUUUUUUGAUUCAUAGCAAAACUUGGAGGCUCCAAGUGUACGAUUCAUUGCAAGAUUUUCUUGCUGAUUCUUGGGGUAGACACUCAUCUCAUUAAGCCUCAUUACCAAUUCCAAACUAGUUCUGUAAAUCUCUCUCUUUUCAGGGCCAACCUAGUAUGUUCUUGGGUAAAUAGGAGUUGCCUUCCAAAAUAAUCUGUUAAUAUUCAUCAGUCAUCCCCAAUUAACUUUGGGGAAGGGCAAUGGAACUUGCUUCUUCAAAUCUUUUUAGCUUACCAGUAAUCCCUACAAGAGCAAACCCCAUCUCUAAAAUGAUGAAACCUGCUUGAAUCUCUAACUGUAAUCUCCCUUCCAACAAUUUUUGAUAUCACCUUGAUUGCAGCAUGACAGUCUGCACAAGCUCGCAAAUUCUUCAUCACCAGAAUUGGUGAUCCCUCUGGCGUACUGAUCAGCGCAAAAGCAAUUGCUAUGCGUUCGCUAUGAUAUUUAAGCGAUUCAACUUUAACAUCUUCAUCAACAUUGUGAAGUGCACAACUCGUAUCAGGCAUGUAUCCUUCCCUUUCCAUUUGCUCUGACAACACAUCAAUUUUUAGCAUGAUUUCCUUCAUCUGUGGGUGGCACUUAUCAUUUGCUGAGAAUACAUGGACCUUAUGCUUAAUUUCAACCCAACUAUAAGCUGGAACCUUCUUAAGUCCACGUUUCCUCAUUUCCUUCUUUACCUUCCUAACACUGUCCCACUGACCUGCUGCUGCAAGAAUAUUAGACAUGGUGACAUAAGGAGAAGCAUCCCUCACCUCCAUGUUGAAGAGUUGUUGUGCGGCUCUCUUAGCUAAAUCGUGGUUCUUAUGAAUCUUACAAGAGUUCAAAACUGAUGACCACAUAAUCUCAUCAGGUUCAAAUGGCAUUUGAGUCAUCAACUUCUCGGCCUUGUCAAAUUGUCCACUCCUACAUAGCACAUCAACUAUAGACGUAUAGUGUUCUCUCUUUGGAACAAGUUUAUAUACUUUAGUCAUGGAGUUGAAGUAUCGCAAUCCUUCUUUGACCAGUCCACAGUGGCUGCAAGCUGAUAAAACACAAAGGAAACUAACUGAAUCUGGUUGAUAACCUGACCGAACCAUCUCUUCAAAUGAUCUUAGAGUGGCCUCACCAUCCCCAUUUUGAGCAUAAGCUGCGAUUAGUGCAUUCCAAGAGACUACAUUCCUUUCAGGCAUCUCUUUAAAAGUUUGAAUUGCAUCUUUUACAGAUCCACAUUUGGCAUACAUGUCGACGAGUGCACUUCCAGAAUAAACAUUUGACAUGAAUCCUGAUCUGAUUAUACAGGAAUGCAGCUGUUUCCCCAAUGAAAUUGAAGCCACAUUUGCAGAGGCUUUUAAGACACUGGCAAAAGUAGCCUGGUCAGCACUUACAUUGGCUCUUCGCAUCUCACUGAACAAUUUUAGGCCUUCUUCAAGACGUCCUUUCUGAACAUUAGCAGAGAUCAUAGCUGUCCAUGGAACUGUGCUUCUACUGCUCAGUUUCACAAAUAUCCUUUCAGCUUCCUCAUAUCGUCCACACUUAGCAUACACGUCAACCAAAGAAUUUGCUACCAAAACUACUGAAUCAGCUGCUGUCACAAUGGUCUGUGAAUGAAGUUGCUUGCACAUCUGCAAGUCUAGUGUAUUUGCCGCUAUACUCAACAUGGUUGCAAAAGGGAAAUUUGUCCUAUUAAAUUUUGUAAACUGCAGCUCUCGGAAAAGAUCAAUAGAUUCUGUUACUUGUCCAAUCCAUGCAUAAGCAGUAAUCAUCACAUUGUAAGAAACACCAUCCAACUCUGGCAUCUUAUAAAAAAGUUUCCUAGCUUCAUUUAUACAAUCAUGCUUUGAGUAGAAAUCAAGCAAGGAAUUCCCCACAAAUACAUUCCACACAAGAUUGGUCUUCACAGAAUAACCAUGGACUUGUUGGCCAAAUGCUAUACCGUCUAAGCCAAUACCCGCACCUAAAACUGCUUGAAAGGUAAAAUCUGAAACGUCAAGUCCCAAACUUUGCAUCUCCAUGAAAAGCUUUAUCGCUUCUUCAUUCAAUCCUUCUUUUGCAUAUCCUGCUAUCAAAGCAUUGUAAGUAACAGAAUCCCUUUCAGGCAUUUCCUUAAAAAACUGAUGAGCUAAAUCUGAGCGAUGUGUUUUGCAAUAAGAAUCAACCAAUGAAUUGCAAACUUUAAGGGCCAAAUUGUGUCCCAGUUUAACAACAAGGGAAUGAAGUUGAAAUAAUUCCUUCACCAUUUGGGGGUCAUUGCACCCUGAUAAAAGAGUUACAAAAGUCACAUAAUCAGGCCUGGUGUCACCCCCAUGCAUAUCAACAAAAAGCUCAAACGCUUCUCUAAAUUGAUCACAAUGUGAAUACCCGCCAAUCAAGAUCGUAUAUGUCACAGCAGUACGUUCAACCAUGCUAUCAAAAAGUUGUCUGGCAAUAGAAAGAUUGCCCGCUUUUACGAAGCCCAAAAUCAUCAUGUUUGUUGAGACAGUGUUCUUAUGAGGCAUUUGAUCGAACAGUUGGCGUGCUUCAGAUAGCUGGCCGCUUUCAAUAAGAUUCUUGACCCGGUAAUUGGAUCGAGAAGUGUUUGGGUCAAAACCCGUUUUGAUGAUUCGGGCAUCGAUACAGAUUUUGACAUUUGGGUGGGAGCAGUUCGAAGGUUGGGAGGCUGCUAGAGUAAGAGAAGCAAGGUUUUUAAGGGGAAUUUUUCUAAAUGGUAAUUUCAUGUACGAAAUGAUUUAUGCUCAAACUCCUGACUGUCUCCUUAAGCCUUCAAUAAGCCUACUACCUUCUCUUUACUUGUCCAUUGGAAUCCACUCUCCAGAUAUGAGCUUUUCAUUUAGGAACGCAAACAUUAAAUAUAAGCUUUUAGAAACUCAUUUGAAUUCCAUUAGACCCAGUGGAAAUCAGAGGAAUAAAACCAAUACAGAAUCAGGACCAUACCAAGAGACUACUACCACUGUGCUCUAAAUUCUUAUAUAGAAUCCCGUCAGAUCUAAACUUUAUCCUGUCAAGGUAGGAUUCAAUUCGAACUUCAACUGUUUCAGACCUUGUUUAUAAACAGCAGAUCUGCAACCCGCCACCUGCUCUCAUUUAAAAGAAGUGGCCUACGUUGGAGCUUGGAGGAUUCACAGGGAAAGCACCUUACAGUGAUAGGAGCUCAAUCUCAUGGAUUCUGGUAGCAGUAGUCCCGUGGAAACCAUCUAGGCCACGAAUAUGGCUUCUUAAGCAUGACAGGACUCAGGAGCUA
rnacentral:misc_RNA from 1 species